rnacentral:rRNA from 1 species
CCCCGUACACAAAAAUGCACAUGCUGUGAGCUCGAUGAGUAGGGCGGGACACGUGGUAUCCUGUCUGAAUAUGGGGGGACCAUCCUCCAAGGCUAAAUACUCCUGACUGACCGAUAGUGAACCAGUACCGUGAGGGAAAGGCGAAAAGAACCCCGGCGAGGGGAGUGAAAAAGAACCUGAAACCGUGUACGUACAAGCAGUGGGAGCACAGAGCAAUCUGUGUGACUGCGUACCUUUUGUAUAAUGGGUCAGCGACUUAUAUUCUGUAGCAAGGUUAACCGAAUAGGGGAGCCGAAGGGAAACCGAGUCUUAACUGGGCGUUAAGUUGCAGGGUAUAGACCCGAAACCCGGUGAUCUAGCCAUGGGCAGGUUGAAGGUUGGGUAACACUAACUGGAGGACCGAACCGACUAAUGUUGAAAAAUUAGCGGAUGACUUGUGGCUGGGGGUGAAAGGCCAAUCAAACCGGGAGAUAGCUGGUUCUCCCCGAAAGCUAUUUAGGUAGCGCCUCGUGAAUUCAUCUCCGGGGGUAGAGCACUGUUUCGGCAAGGGGGUCAUCCCGACUUACCAACCCGAUGCAAACUGCGAAUACCGGAGAAUGUUAUCACGGGAGACACACGGCGGGUGCUAACGUCCGUCGUGAAGAGGGAAACAACCCAGACCGCCAGCUAAGGUCCCAAAGUCAUGGUUAAGUGGGAAACGAUGUGGGAAGGCCCAGACAGCCAGGAUGUUGGCUUAGAAGCAGCCAUCAUUUAAAGAAAGCGUAAUAGCUCACUGGUCGAGUCGGCCUGCGCGGAAGAUGUAACGGGGCUAAACCAUGCACCGAAGCUGCGGCAGCGACGCUGAUGCGUUGUUGGGUAGGGGAGCGUUCUGUAAGCCUGUGAAGGUGUGCUGUGAGGCAUGCUGGAGGUAUCAGAAGUGCGAAUGCUGACAUAAGUAACGAUAAAGCGGGUGAAAAGCCCGCUCGCCGGAAGACCAAGGGUUCCUGUCCAACGUUAAUCGGGGCAGGGUGAGUCGACCCCUAAGGCGAGGCCGAAAGGCGUAGUCGAUGGGAAACAGGUUAAUAUUCCUGUACUUGGUGUUACUGCGAAGGGGGGACGGAGAAGGCUAUGUUGGCCGGGCGACGGUUGUCCCGGUUUAAGCGUGUAGGCUGGUUUUCCAGGCAAAUCCGGAAAAUCAAGGCUGAGGCGUGAUGACGAGGCACUACGGUGCUGAAGCAACAAAUGCCCUGCUUCCAGGAAAAGCCUCUAAGCAUCAGGUAACAUCAAAUCGUACCCCAAACCGACACAGGUGGUCAGGUAGAGAAUACCAAGGCGCUUGAGAGAACUCGGGUGAAGGAACUAGGCAAAAUGGUGCCGUAACUUCGGGAGAAGGCACGCUGAUAUGUAGGUGAAGUCCCUCGCGGAUGGAGCUGAAAUCAGUCGAAGAUACCAGCUGGCUGCAACUGUUUAUUAAAAACACAGCACUGUGCAAACACGAAAGUGGACGUAUACGGUGUGACGCCUGCCCGGUGCCGGAAGGUUAAUUGAUGGGGUCAGCGCAAGCGAAGCUCUUGAUCGAAGCCCCGGUAAACGGCGGCCGUAACUAUAACGGUCCUAAGGUAGCGAAAUUCCUUGUCGGGUAAGUUCCGACCUGCACGAAUGGCGUAAUGAUGGCCAGGCUGUCUCCACCCGAGACUCAGUGAAAUUGAACUCGCUGUGAAGAUGCAGUGUACCCGCGGCAAGACGGAAAGACCCCGUGAACCUUUACUAUAGCUUGACACUGAACAUUGAGCCUUGAUGUGUAGGAUAGGUGGGAGGCUUUGAAGUGUGG